AAGUCUGCUAAAGUUCUGGGUCUUCCACCCUCUUCUUUCCCCUGGUAUCCCAGCCAGAAACCUCUCUGAGCCCUGGAGCCCUGGAGCCCUGGAGCAGCUAUGGUGCCCGUUUGUGGGCCACAUUCCUGGGCCUGCUACAAGCCUCCCUGCCUGGCUUUCUGAGCACCAGUUGUGUGCUGGGUGUUUCCUGCUGCCUGAGGCAGAUCCCUUCCCCAAGGAGCUCCUGUGCCUUUAAUGCUGUCUCCAUGGAGGUAACAGGAGUGUGCUUGGGGCCUGUGGUUCCUGAGCACUGGUGUCCUUGGGGACCACCCCAUUG
rnacentral:lncRNA from 1 species